rnacentral:rRNA from 1 species
AGAGUUUGAUCCUGGCUCAGGAUGAACGCUGGCGGCGUGCUUAACACAUGCAAGUCGAACGGGAUCCAAGGGGUGCUUGCACUUUUUGGUGAGAGUGGCGAACGGGUGAGUAACACGUGAGUAACCUGUCCUUUUCUUUGGGAUAAGCUUCCGAAAGGGUGUUUAAUACCUUAUGUUCUGUCUGCCUCGCAUGGGGUGGGUGGGAAAGAUUUUUUCGGUGAAGGGUGGGCUCGCGGUCUAUCAGCUUGUUGGUGGGGUGAUGGCUUACCAAGGCUUUGACGGGUAGCCGGCCUGAGAGGGUGGUCGGUCACAUUGGGACUGAGAUACGGCCCAGACUCCUGCGGGAGGCAGCAGUGGGGGAUAUUGCACAAUGGGCGAAAGCCUGAUGCAGCGACGCCGCGUGGGGGAUGAAGGCCUUCGGGUUGUAAACUUCUUUUGCUCUGAACAAGGCAUGCUAAUGGGUGUGUUGAGUGUAGGGGUUGAUUAGCGCCGGCUAACUACGUGCCAGCAGCCGCGGUAAUACGUAGGGCGCGAGCGUUGUCCGGAAUUAUUGGGCGUAAAGGGCUUGUAGGUGGCUGGUUGCGUCUGUCGUGAAAGCUCAUGGCUUAACUGUGGGUUUGCGGUGGGUACGGGCUGGCUUGAGUGCAGUAGGGGAGGCUGGAAUUCCUGGUGUAGCGGUGGAAUGCGCAGAUAUCAGGAGGAAUACCGGUGGCGAAGGCGGGUCUCUGGGCUGUUACUGACACUGAGGAGCGAAAGCAUGGGGAGCGAACAGGAUUAGAUACCCUGGUAGUCCAUGCUGUAAACGGUGGGAACUGGGUGUGGGGGGCUUUUUUGUCUUCUGCGUCGUAGCUAACGCGUUAAGUUCCCCGCCUGGGGAGUACGGUCGCAAGGCUAAAACUCAAAGGAAUUGACGGGGGCCCGCACAAGCGGCGGAGCAUGCGGAUUAAUUCGAUGCAACGCGAAGAACCUUACCAAGGCUUGACAUGCACUGGACUGGCUCAGAGAUGGGUUUUCCUUUUUGGCUGGUGUGCAGGUGGUGCAUGGUUGUCGUCAGCUCGUGUCGUGAGAUGUUGGGUUAAGUCCC